UUCGUCCAAUUGAAGCAGAGGACAGUGGCGGACGGGUGAGUAACGCGUGAGGAACCUGCCUCGGAGUGGGGGACAACAGUUGGAAACGACUGCUAAUACCGCAUAAGCGCACAGCUUCGCAUGAAGCAGUGUGAAAAACUCCGGUGGUACAAGAUGGCCUCGCGUCCGAUUAGCUAGUUGGUGAGGUAACGGCCCACCAAGGCGACGAUCGGUAGCCGGUCUGAGAGGAUGAACGGCCACACUGGAACUGAGACACGGUCCAGACUCC
rnacentral:rRNA from 1 species